rnacentral:rRNA from 1 species
UACAGAGGGUGCGAGCGUUGUUCGGAAUUACUGGGCGUAAAGGGAGCGUAGGCGGACAGUUUAGUCAGAGGUGAAAGCCCAGGGCUCAACCCUGGAAUUGCCUUUGAUACUGACUGUCUUGAGUGUGGGAGAGGUGUGUGGAACUCCGAGUGUAGAGGUGAAAUUCGUAGAUAUUCGGAAGAACACCAGUGGCGAAGGCGACACACUGGCCCAUUACUGACGCUGAGGCUCGAAAAGCGUGGGGAGCAAACAGG